GCUCAACUUUGGAAUCUCGCCGGCCUAGCCCGCCGGCGCUAAUUGUAUUUUCAAGGCACGCUUCUUUCGGGGGUGGCGUUGGGCCCAAGUCCGUUGGAACACGGCACCGUAGAGGGUGAGAGUCCCGUACGGCCCGCCGCGCCGCUCCUGUGCCAUCGCUUUUUGCCAAAGAGUCAGAUAGCUUGGGAACUCUGUCCAAAGUGGGUGGUAAACACCAUCUAAAGCUAAAUACAGGAAAGAGACCGAUAGCGCACAAGUACCGUGAGGGAAAGAUGAAAAGCUCUUUGAAAAGAGAGUGAAACAGUACGUGAAAUUGCCAAUAGGGAAGCGUUCGGCACCGGUGUAUCGUCCUACCGCGGGAUCAGCCCGUCCUAUCUCCCCGAUAAAAAGGGGGAAAAAGGCGGGUGCACUCUCGUUUGACUGGGCGGGGUCAGCGUCGGUUCGGGGGGUUCCGGGAUAAAAGCCGCUGGGCCAAAGGUGUCUCGCGCGCUGUGCGCUCUCUCUCGGGGGGGCGCGCCGCGCGCGGGUGGUUAGAGGGGCCUGCUGGUGUAAUGUCUCCCGCCCCGGACCGAGGAUCGCAGCCGUAGCUACUGCUCGCCGUGGGGUGCGUCCGUUUGCGGGGAUUUGUUAGUGGACCGUUUGACCGCCUGGCGGACAGCGGACCCGGUCCCCGUGUCGCCCGCCCCGCGCGCGUUGUCAUCUCACGGUCUUGGGAUGCUGGCGAACCGGUAUCGAGCGACCCGUCUUGAAACACGGACCAAGGAGUGCAACAGGCGCGCGAGUGUUUGGGCGUCAAAAACCCUGUACGCGUAGUGAAAGCGAGAGCUUUUCGCUCUGGUGCGAAGCGCCGUCCACCUCAAAAAUGGGCGGCUGCCGCUGCAUCGGCCGGUCUCGGAGGGACACCCGUUCCGCCGUUUCUGAGCAAGAGCGCGCCUGUUGCGACCCGAAAGAUGGUGAACUAUGCCUGAGUAGGGCGAAGCCAGAGG
rnacentral:rRNA from 1 species